rnacentral:rRNA from 1 species
GAUGAACGCUGGCGGCGUGCCUAAUACAUGCAAGUCGAGCGAACUGAUUAGAAGCUUGCUUCUAUGACGUUAGCGGCGGACGGGUGAGUAACACGUGGGCAACCUGCCUGUAAGACUGGGAUAACUUCGGGAAACCGAAGCUAAUACCGGAUAGGAUCUUAUCCUUCAUGGGAGAUGAUUGAAAGAUGGUUUCGGCUAUCACUUACAGAUGGGCCCGCGGUGCAUUAGCUAGUUGGUGAGGUAACGGCUAACCAAGGCAACGAUGCAUAGCCGACCUGAGAGGGUGAUCGGCCACACUGGGACUGAGACACGGCCCAGACUCCUACGGGAGGCAGCAGUAGGGAAUCUUCCGCAAUGGACGAAAGUCUGACGGAGCAACGCCGCGUGAGUGAUGAAGGCUUUCGGGUCGUAAAACUCUGUUGUUAGGGAAGAAUAAGUACAAGAGUAACUGCUUGUACCUUGACGGUACCUAACCAGAAAGCCACGGCUAACUACGUGCCAGCAGCCGCCGUAACAC